rnacentral:rRNA from 1 species
UACGGGGGGGGCAAGCGUUGUUCGGAAUUACUGGGCGUAAAGGGCUCGUAGGCGGCCAACUAAGUCGGACGUGAAAUCCCCAGGCUCAACCUGGGAACUGCGUCCGAUACUGGAUGGCUUGAAUCCGGGAGAGGGAUGCAGAAUUCCAGGUGUAGCGGUGAAAUGUGUAGAGAUCAGGAGGAACACCGGUGGCGAAGGCGGCCCGCUGGACGGAGACUGACGCUGAGGCGCGAAAGCGUGGGGAGCAAACGGG